rnacentral:lncRNA from 1 species
GUGGAAUCUCAUUCUGAUUUUGAUUUACAUUUUCCUAAUAAUUAAUUGUGUUGAGCAGCAUUUCUUGUGCUUAUUGUAUUGCAUUAUUUGUAUAUCUUCUUUGAAGAGUUGUCUAUUCAAAUUUUUUGCUCAUUUUUUAUUGUAAAAAGCAGAUAACAUAAAUUUUACCAUCUUAAUCAUUUAAGUGCUAAAUAUAUUAACAUUGUUUUAAAACAGAUCUCUAGAACUUCUCAUUCUGUAAAAUUGAAACUCUGUAUCCAUCUCAUUAAACAACUAAGUCCCUUUUCCCUUUCUCCCUAGACCAGGGUAUCCACCAUUCUACUUUUUGUUUCUUUACUGUUGCUUUGACUACUUUAGAUCAGGUGAUUCUCCCCCUUGUGGAGCAGCAAGAGGUCUUGGAUUUUAUGUCAGCUUCCCAGUGGCCCCAGGAAAAGUGGAGUGUUCAAUCUCAUAGUCUUGCUGCUGACUCCCUGCUGGAGGAAGUGGGGCAAGAGUGUCCCCUCCAAGUGCCCACUGUGUGAGUGGGGGUGUUGUGAGACCGGAUCUGAGCUGGACCCUGCUGACCCCAGAGAGGGAUGCCCAGAUAUUUCUAGUUGUAAGUGAGAGGACCUGCUUGAUUGGGAGCAUUUCCUCUUGGUCAGAACUGGAAACCCUGGUGAUGCCUGCUCUGAAUGGUUUCCUCCAGUACUAGGAUGAUGGAGUUCCUGCAGAACCUAAGUUAUGGAGGUGAUUUAUCCUGAUCCCCAAGCUAUAGAAAUAAGACAGAGAUCACAAGUAUGCAAGGAGGCAGGCAGAGAGAGAGGAGGAAACAGGCUUUCCGCGGAGCAGAGAGCCCGAUGCGGGGCUCGAUCCCAGGACCCUGGGAUCAGGACCCCAGCCAAAGGCAGAGGCUUCAACCCACUGAGCCACCCAGGCGCCCCGAUAAUGGACACAGUUUGCUGGCAUGUCAUAUUUGAGAGAGACACACAUAGACUCAGAUAUGACCAGACAGCUUUAAGGAAUAAGGAUGACCUUGUGGAGCCAAUAAAGCCCUUGGAAAUACCAGCCUCAUACUUUGUUUACAGAGAUCCCAGCAGCCUCACCAGUUGAUUAAAGAAGGUCACUCAUGGCAGGAAUCUUCGGAUAUUUUGAGAACCUCAAAAAGGCAAGAAUUCACCCAUAUAUAUGGGUAUCAAAGAGGAAGUCUGAUUGCAAGUAUUUGGCCUUAAGGAGCUAUGAAAAGUUCAAUCUAGAGAUUCCUUAUAAAAGUUCUAAUAAAGCGGGUUUUAAGGAACAUACAUGGUCAAGCACUUCUUGUUGGUGUUAUGUAAAUCAUCAGCCCAUUUUUUUUUUAAAUUAGACUUAUUUUGCAAACACCUGGGUAUUAAUUUCGCUAUCUUUAGUAAAAAUGGGGGCAACUAUAGAGGAAAAAUGUGCUUCAAUCACACAUGCUUGUAAAUAUUAGGUUUUUUUUUUUUUUUAUUGUUGUUAACUUUCCAGGAACUUUAAUUUUUUUAAUUUUUAAUUUUUAUUUUAUUUUAUUUUUUUGCAUAAGAUAUAUUUAUUAAGUAGAAGUGAUGAAUUAAAAACAAAAGCUAGUGUUUAUUUAAUGGUUACUACAUGACAAACACUAUCUAUAUUAACUCUUUUAAAAUACAUUAUGCUAUGUAUAUCUAACAUUUCUAAGAUUCUAGCAAUAGUGCCUUCAUUUUUCAAAAAAUUUUAAAGGAAAAAGAGAUGAAAGAAGGAAACUGCUGUUGGUCACAUAGCUGAGAUGUGAUGGAGCCUGGACUCAAGCUCACAAAGUCAAAAUCUAAAGCCACUAUUAUCAACUAUUAUGUAUAUGCUCCUUGGAGAAAAGGUCAAAUACCCAAAUGCUGAUGAACAGAUUAUGGAGAAUCUUCUCAGAAAAUAAGAAGUCACUGAGAUGAGUUGAGUAACAGUAAGAGUGAAACUCUUGAGAAAAGACCACACAUGAUUGAAGAUCUACACACUUUCAGAGAAGUCAAAAUUACAGCCAUCCUGUGGGCUGCCAGGAAUGCCUUCCAUGUCCAUUUCCAAGUCCAUCGUGAUAACGGCUAUUCCUAGUGGUAAGGAUUUCCUGUGUUGCUACAUGGCCAAGUUCUGUGGCUAAGAUUUCUUUGUUCUCUACUAUCACAGGUAUUCUUUUUUUUUUUUAAAUAAAUUAAUCUAUUUAUUUUCAGAAAAACAGUAUUCAUUAUUUUUCAUUUUUCUUUUUUCUUUUUUGUUAACUUUCCAGGGACUUUAUUUUUUUAAUUCUUUAAAAAUUUACUUAUUUAUUUAUUAUUUUCAGCAUAACAGUAUUCAUUAUUUUUGCACCACACCCAGUGCUCCAUGCAAUCUGUGCCCUCUCUGAUACCCACCACCUGGUACCCCGACCUCCCNNNNNNNNNNNNNNNNNNNNNNNNNNNNN